GUAACCCUGGCGGUAUGCUUAACACAUGCAAGUCGAACGAAAGUUUUUAACUUUAGUGGCGAACGGGUGCGUAAUACGUGAGAAUCUGCCCUUAGGAGGAGUAUAACUGCUGGAAACGGCUGCUAACACUCCAUAUGUCGAGAGAUGAAAUAAUUUAUUGCCUAAGGAUGAGCUCGCGCCUGAUUAGCUAGUUGGUAGGGUAAUGGCCUACCAAGCCGACGAUCUAUAGCUGGUUUGAGAGGAUGAUCAGCAACACUGGGACUGAGACACGGCCCAGACUUCUACGGAAGGCAGCAGUAGGGAAUCUUGGACAAUGGGCGAAAGCCUGAUCCAGCCAUGCCGCGUGAGUGAUGAAGGCCCUAGGGUUGUAAAGCUCUUUCGCCAGGGAAGAUAAUGACGGUACCUGGUAAAGAAACCCCGGCUAACUCCGUGCCAGCAGCCGCGGUAAUACGGAGGGGGUUAGCGUUGUUCGGAAUUACUGGGCGUAAAGCGCACGUAGGCGGAUUAAUAAGUCAGGGGUGAAAUCCCGAGGCUCAACCUCGGAACUGCCUUUGAUACUGNUAAUCUUGAGUUCCAGAGAGGUGAGUGGAAUUCCGAGUGUAGAGGUGAAAUUC
rnacentral:rRNA from 1 species